CAGGUAGAGAAUACCGAGGCGAUCGGGCGAACUGUGGUUAAGGAACUCGGCAAAUUACCCCCGUAACUUCGGGAGAAGGGGGGCCACAGACCGUGAAACCCCAUGCGGGUGGCAGCGGUAGGUGGCCGCAGAGACCAGGGGGAAGCGACUGUUCACUAAAAACACAGGUCCGUGCGAAGUCGUAAGACGAUGUAUACGGACUGACGCCUGCCCGGUGCUGGAACGUUAAGGGGACCGGUUAGUCCGCAAGGGCGAAGCUGAGAACUUAAGCGCCAGUAAACGGCGGUGGUAACUAUAACCAUCCUAAGGUAGCGAAAUUCCUUGUCGGGUAAGUUCCGACCUGCACGAAUGGCGUAACGACUUCCCUACUGUCUCAACCACAGGCCCGGCGAAAUUGCACUACGAGUAAAGAUGCUCGUUACGCGCGGAAGGACGGAAAGACCCCGGGACCUUCACUAUAGCUUGACAUUGGUACUCGAAUUGAAUUGUGUAGGAUAGGUGGGAGACUAUGAAGCUCGGACGCCAGUCCGGGUGGAGUCAACGUUGAAAUACCACUCUGUUGAAUUUGGGUAUCUAACUUCGGACCGUGAUCCGGUUCAGGGACAGUGUCUGGUGGGUAGUUUAACUGGGCGGUUGCCUCCUAAAAUGUAACGGAGGCGCCCAAAGGUUCCCUCAGCCUGGUUGGCAAUCAGGUGUUGAGUGCAAGUGCACAAGGGAGCUUGACUGUGAGACUGACAGGUCGAGCAGGGACGAAAGUCGGGACUAGUGAUCCGGCACCGGCGAGUGGAAGCGGUGUCGCUCAACGGAUAAAAGGUACCCCGGGGAUAACAGGCUGAUCUUCCCCAAAAGUCCAUAUCGACGGGAUGGUUUGGCACCUCGAUGUCGGCUCGUCGCAUCCUGGGGCUGGAGUAGGUCCCAAGGGUUGGGCUGUUCGCCCAUUAAAGCGGCACGCGAGCUGGGUUUAGAACGUCGUGAGACAGUUCGGUCCCUAUCCUCCGCGCGCGCAGGAGACUUGAGAAGAGCUGUCCCUAGUACGAGAGGACCGGGACGGACGAACCUCUGGUGUGCCAGUUGUCAUGCCAAUGGCACGGCUGGUUAGCUACGUUCGGAAGGGAUAACCGCUGAAAGCAUCUAAGCGGGAAGCCUGCUUCAAGAUGAGGUCUCCCACCCCCUCGAGGGUUAAGGCCCCCAGCAAGACCACUGGGUUGAUAGGCCAGAAGUGUAAGCCUGGUAACAGGUUCAGCCGACUGGUACCAAUAGGCCGAGGACUUGAAAG
rnacentral:rRNA from 1 species